rnacentral:lncRNA from 1 species
GUGUUGGGUAUCUUCGCCUUGCCGGGAUUACUCCACUUGUUUCCCGAACCUCCGGUCCGUCUCACUUCGUGCUCAGGCACUUCUUCUUCUUCUAUUCUUCUCUUCUCAGUUCCUCCUUCCUUCUGUUAGAUCUGCACAAAAAAAGGGCAAGCAAGGAGUAACAAGAUACAAGAAAGUAAAGAAAAGAAAUAAAGAAGUAAAAGUUCAGAGAAGGGGAAAAGGUGUCCUCGGGACACAGGGGGCUCAGAUUUUCCCCCUUAAACUCAGCAACCCUUCCGGCAGCUGAAUGAUCAACGGCGAGGUAAGGACAAUGGAGCAGCGUCACAGAUCUCAACAGAGCAACCAACAACAGGAGCCAAGGUCAGAACUCCGGCAGCUCGGAUCUUCUCAGGUAAUCACCAAACAGGGCUCCGAUGGUCAGGAAAAACCCGGUGAUACCUCCACCCACGUCUGGGAAUCCCGUAUUAUCAAGGAGUUUAACCACAAAGGAUAGCAGAGCCUUUCAGUCCUUGAUAUCCGUAUUCCCGGAUGAGAAAGCAUCAGAGAUUUAAAGGGAGUAGGGAGGAGCUGGACAGCAGUAAUGGAGAUGGAGGAACCGAGGGGAUGGGCGGUGGAGCGGCGGAGUAGAUGGAGAGUCAGGGAGAGAGGGGGAUUAGGGUUUGGGAGAGAGAGAGCGGCGCUGAGUGAAAAAUGAGAGAGAGAGAGAGAAACGGGGAAUUAUAUAUCCGAGGUGUGAGUGGGCUAGGGUUGAGAGAUUGGGCUCGGUUGAGAGAUUGGGCUCGGUUCUGGGCCCUGAAGUUGGCCCAGACCAGAAAGAAAAAGAAAGGGAGAAGGAAUGAGAAAUGGGCCAACCUCACAUAUCCACCUUUGGCACAUUGAUCAUUCUGUCACCAGGGAAGGGCCAUCAAUUGAGUUGGAGUUAUCAUCAUAGCCCAAUUUUUACUCUUAUCUGCCACAAAGUCAAGACAAGAGAGGGUGAGAGAAAUAUUAAGCAUAUUUAACUCAAUCUCAAACCACAGAGACCAACCCAGGGUAAUCACCAAUUUCUCAAACCCAAAGGGUUAUCAUUGAAGUCACACACACACAAACACAAGCAGAGCACACAGAGCAGAAAAAAGAAAAACAAGCAGAACCAGGCAAGUACAUACAAACAGAACAAAGCAACAUAAACAGAAGACAAACACAGGACAAAAGCAGGCAUGCAUAACAGAACACAACAGGCAGAACUGAGAUUACUCACAUCAUCAUGCACACAAGAAAAGCAAAGACAAAGGAGAGACAAGCAGCCACAGAGGCUGAACUUAUCACACCAAGACUCAAAAGGAAUUAACCAGGACCAAUAUUCAGAGUUUCCAUGCAAGAUUCCAGCUUUGCAACUGGAAGACACUUGGUGCCCAUAUCAGCAGGAUUGAAUUCAGAGGGAAUCUUAUCAAGUAAAACAUCUCCUUUUUCAACUACAUCCCUAAUGAAGUGAUAUUUAACAGCAAUAUGCUUAGUUCUAUCAUGGAACACAGGGUUUUUGCAUAGUGAAUGGCAGAUUGACUAUCAGAGAAAACAUGGUUAUCAUCAAUGUAUCUAAUUUCAGACAGCAAACCAUCAAGCCAAAGAGCUUCUUNNNNNNNNNNNNNNNNNNNNNNNNNNNNNNNNNNNNNNNNNNNNNNNNNNNNNNNNNNNNNNNNNNNNNNNNNNNNNNNNNNNNNNNNNNNNNNNNNNGAUCAGGAAAUUCUUUGCUCACAAAACCCUCAGGCUGUUUCAUAUAAAUGUCAUUCUCAAGAUCACCAUGAAGAAAAGCUGUAGUAACAUCCAUUUGCUUUAAUUCCCAAUUAAAAUGAGCACACAAAGCAAGCAUAAUGCGCACAGUGGUGAACUUAACAACAGGUGCAAAAUUUCAUUGUAAUCUAUGCCCUCCUUUUGAGUGAAGCCCUUAGCUACAAGUCUAGCUUUGUACCUAACAUGAUCCACCUCAUUUUUAAUCUUGACUAACUUUUACACUACAACAAUAGGAACAAUACAGACGAGGUUUAGGAACAAGAAUCCAUGUAGAGUUAUCAUGUAAUGAGUUCAUCUCAGACUUCAUAGCAGUCAACCAUUUAUCAGAAUUCUCAGAGUUAACAGCUUCAGCAUAUGAGCAUGGUUCAGAUUGAUCCACAUUGUUAAACACAUUAAAGGCAUACAAAGACAUGCUGUAGUCAUCAAACCUAGCAGGCUGCCUAACAUGUCUCCUUUCUCUAUCCCUAGUGAGUUGAUAAUCAUUCUCAAGAACUUCAUUGUGGAUAGGUUGAUGCAUAAUAGGUUCAGGCUCAACAAGAUCAGGCACAGCAGGUUCAUGCACAAUAGGUUCAUGCUGAACAACAGGGUCAGGAACAGGAGGGGGUUCAGUGUUUUGCUGUGGUUCCACCUCAAAAGGAACCACAGGUGUGAACAUAAAUUCAUAUCUAGUAAGAUCAUGAGCAUUCGAGUUCUCCACCUCACUUGGAGUUGCAGAUUGUGAGGAUUCAAGUAGACAAGGAAAAUUCAAUUCAUUGAAAGACACAUCUCUACUUAUACAUGUUUUAAAUCCAGGAACAGACUUAUCCCACAAUCUAUAACCCUUAACACCCUCAGGGUAUCCAAGAAAAUGCAUUUUCUUGGCUCUAGGUUCUAGUUUCCCAACAUUCUGAUGGACAUAGGCAGCACAUCCAAACACUUUUAAGUGAUUUAAACACACAGGCUUGUCAUAGAAAACAGACUCAGGAAGUUUGCCAUGCAAGGGAACAGAAGGGGAUCUGUUAAUCAAAUAAACAGCAGUCAUAAGAGCUUCACCCCAAAAAUGUUUUGAAAGACCAGAUGCAACAAGUAGACUUCUAACUCUCUCAAGGAGAGUCCUAUUCAUCCUUUCAACAACUCCAUUCUGCUGUGGAGUGUAAGGGACAGACUUGUGCCUAAUGAUGCCUAAAUCAGAACACCAAGUAUCCAUGGAAUGAUUGCAAAAUUCAAGACCAUUGUCAGUUCUGAUGCACUUAAUCCUUUUCUUGGUUUGAUUUUGAAUUUCAUUAGCCCAUUUUGAAAGUUUUUCAAACACAUCAGACUUGUUUUUCAUGAGAAAUCCCAAGUUUCCUUGAAAAAUCAUCUAUAACAGAUAAGAAGCAUGUUCACAUGGGUGGGCACUUAGCAGGGCCCAAACAUCAGCAUGAAUGUAUUCAAGAUUUCAGAACUGACAUGUUUCUGGGGUAGGAGUAGUCACAGGAAAGCAGAUUAUGAUGUUACAAGAUGCAAGGUUCACAGAAAGAUAUGCCAGACACUUUGUCAUUCCCAAAAGACCCAGUCUUUUUUACAAAAUUUCCAUGCCCUUAUUACUCAUAUGACCUAGUCUAGCAUGCCAAAGUGCAGACUUAUCUUCAUGAAUCACAUUAGCAACAUGUAGAGGUACAGACUCAGCACUCACAGCAUACAGAUUUCCUUUCCUUAGUGCAGAAAAAUAAGGCAUAGAAUCCUUUUUAAACUGGAAGCUUAAGUGAUCAACAGAACCAGUUAUCAUGCUAUCAGUAAUUUGAGAAACUGACAACAGACUGAAUUUCAAGUUUGGCACAAAUCUGACUUCAGUUAGAGUGAGAAACUUUCCAUUUUCAAAUUUUAAACAGACAUCACCUUUUCCAUGAUUCACAGUUCUGCCCAUCAGCCAAAGCAACAUGUCCAGAUUUAACAGGUUGGAGAUUAUGAAUCAUAUGCUCAAAUGGGGUAACAUGGAAAGUGCAACCAGAAUCAAUGAGCCAUUCACUGGAACUCAUAGUUUUUGAAAUAGCAUUGGAGUAGCUGAUGAACUGAAAAUCAUAAUCAUGCAUCAUGUACACACCAUCUUCUUCAUACACAUUAUUAGCAUUCUGAUUAGAUUCUUCUGGGACAUAUUCCUUUUUCUUCUUAGGAAGUUUGCAUCUGUUUAUAAAAUGUCCAGGUUUUCCACAAUUCCAGCAAACUUUCCUAGGUUUUUGGUCAGAGUAUUGAUUUUGACCUCUAUUUUCACCAUUCUGAUUAUCAGAUCUCAUGUCCUUGGGUUUUUCAAAAUUCUUACCCCUAUUGAAGUUCUGGGGUUGAUUUUUAUUAACAUACAGAAUCUCACCAUGCAAAGGUUUUGAUUUUAUCAAUUUUAGCUCACUCUCCUUAGACUUAAGCCCAUUAAUGAUCAUAUCACAUGUGACUUUAGCACCACCAUAUUUUAGAGCAGAUUUCACCUCAACAAAUGAUUCAGGUAUGGAGUUUAACAAAAUCUGGGGUGCAUAUUUUUCAAUUGAGUCAUCUCCAGCAAGCUUUAAGUCAUGGAGCAGUUUAUUGAAAAUUUCCAUGUUUGUGUCAACAUCUUUAGAGGAAUCCAUUUGGAAAGACAUAAACUGAUUUUGUAAAGACCAAGUGGAUACUUCAGAUGGUGCAGCAUAAAUGGAGUUUAGUUCAUCCCAUAGUUCUUUAGCACAUGUGAGGUGUGACACUUUCCUUACAACAGAACUGCUUAAAUUCAACAGAAUUGUUGCCCUAGCAUUAUCAUUCAUGUCAUGCAAUUUUUCAUCAGUGACAGUUUUAUCAAUUUUAGUUAAUAAAGCCUUAUUAACCUUCUCCUUAACAAGAAUGCAUUCUAUUUUGGUUUUCCAGUCCUGAAAAUCAUCCCGGCCAUUGAAUGGCACCAAAUGCAUGUUGUUCAUGGUGAUGAAUGCAGAUGCAGCACUUAAGCAAACACAAUCUUAUUCACAGAAUACCACAACAAAGGUCACUAGGACCUCAAGGAAGGAAACUUCUGGAGUUCAGGAGCAGGGAAGAGCCCAGAUCUCAGCACAGAUUUAUCUGUGGAGCAAGGUUUCACACUGGUCCCUCCAAAAGUUCCAACAGGACUUAACAGAGUCCAGAAACUCUCAAUCCAAGAGAGUUUUCAAGGUAUUCAACCUUUAAGAGAACAAGAAAACAGAGAGAAACAGAGAGCACAGCAGAAGUUACAAGUGUUCUACUGUAAGCCUCGUAUCAGUCAAGCUAUCCAGGCUACCACGCACGAGAAGACACUUUAAAGUGAAUUCAGACGGACUGGACCGUAAGCUUAGACCAACGGUGAGCGUUUGAAUGCUCUUGAGGUUACAGGAGAUAACACAAGAACACAGGCAGAAGAAAAAACAACAAGCGGAAGCAAACAAGAGAGCAGGAUCGCAAGAUACCAACAAAGAAAAGAAAAAACAGCACCUUGACCAAGCCUAGAUCUAGGAGCUAGGGUUUCAGCCGAUUUACCUGAGCCGGACUCUUCAGGAGGAAGAGCCGGACUUACUCUUCUCCUUGCUCGUCGGGAGCGAAAUGGCGCAGCCAAAGGGCGGCGGGGUGAGAGGGAUGUGUUCGGAGGGAGCCCCGGCAAGGUCCCCGUGGCUCUGAUACCACUGUUGGGUAUCUUUGCCUUGCCGGGAUUACUCCACUUGUUUCCCGAACCUCCGGUCCGUCUCACUUCGUGCUCAGGCACUUCUUCUCCUUAGGUCUUCAAUCUUCCGUUCCAGAUAUGCAAUAUUCAGCUCCAACUCUUCCUCGUUACCUGUACUUCAGAUCUGCACAAAUAAAGAGGGAGAAAGGAGUAAAAGGAACACAAGAAAGAUAAUAGAGAUAAGAAAUCAGGAGUAAAGUUCAGAGAAAAAAGGGGAAAAGGUGUCCUCGGGACACAGGGGCUCAGAUUUUCCCCCUUUAACUCAGCAACCCUUCCGGCAGCUGAAUGAUCAACGGCGAGGUAAGGACGAUGGAGCAGCUUCACAGAUCUCAACAGAGCCACCAACAGCAGGAGCCAAGGUCAGAACUCCGGCAGCUCAGAUCUUCUCAGGUAACCACCAAACAGGGCUCCGAUGGUCAGGAAAACCCG